GAUCGGCCACACUGGAACUGAGACACGGUCCAGACUCCUACGGGAGGCAGCAGUGGGGAAUAUUGCACAAUGGGCGAAAGCCUGAUGCAGCAACGCCGCGUGAGCGAUGAAGGCCUUCGGGUCGUAAAGCUCUGUCCUAAGGGAAGAUAAUGACGGUACCUUAGGAGGAAGCCCCGGCUAACUACGUGCCAGCAGCCGCGGUAAUACGUAGGGGGCAAGCGUUAUCCGGAAUCACUGGGCGUAAAGGGUGCGUAGGCGGCUGAUAAAGUCCGAGGUGAAAGGCUACGGCUUAACCGUAGUAAGCCUUGGAAACUUAUCAGCUUGAGUACAGGAGAGGAAAGUGGAAUUCCUAGUGUAGCGGUGAAAUGCGUAGAUAUUAGGAGGAACACCAGUGGCGAAGGCGACUUUCUGGACUGUUACUGACGCUGAGGCACGAAAGCGUGGGGAGCGAACAGGAUUAGAUACCCUGGUAGUCCACGCCGUAAACGAUGAGUGCUAGGUGUCGGGGGUCGAACCUCGGUGCCGCAGCUAACGCAUUAAGCACUCCGCCUGGGGAGUACGUUCGCAAGAAUAAAACUCAAAGGAAUUGACGGGGACCCGCACAAGCAGCGGAGCAUGUGGUUUAAUUCGAAGCAACGCGAAGAACCUUACCUGGACUUGACAUCCCUUUGACCGCUUCUUAACCGAAGCUUUCCCUUCGGGGACAAAGGUGACAGGUGGUGCAUGGUUGUCGUCAGCUCGUGUCGUGAGAUGUUGGGUUAAGUCCCGCAACGAGCGCAACCCCUGUCUUUAGUUGCCAGCAUUAAGUUGGGCACUCUAGAGAGACUGCCGAGGAUAACUCGGAGGAAGGUGGGGAUGACGUCAAAUCAUCAUGCCCCUUAUGUUCAGGGCUACACACGUGCUACAAUGGGCGGUACAACGGGCAGCAAGCUCGCGAGAGCAAGCCAAUCCCUUAAAGCCGUUCUCAGUUCGGAUUGUAGGCUGAAACUCGCCUACAUGAAGCUGGAGUUGCUAGUAAUCGCGGAUCAGAAUGCCGCGGUGAAUGCGUUCCCGGGUCUUGUACACACCGCCCGUCACACCAUGGAAGUUGGGGGCGCCCGAAGUCAGUUA
rnacentral:rRNA from 1 species